UGUCAACACUGCCUGGCUUUAUUCCACUUGGAAAUUACCAGCAGGGAAAUCUGCUGUCCGUUAGAGAGCCACUGUCAAGAUCAAGAUUCAUGGUUCCCCCCAUGGCUGCACAGGAAAACAUUGUAUUUUUCAUCACCUGAUAAAGCUCAUUAAAAUGUUGUCUACA